GAGCACUAGUAGAAGGCAAUAACCUGUCAGUUAAAUGCUUCAAUGCUGUUUGAAUCUGGAAAGGCUGGAAUAAGGCUUCUUAUUAACCGUGUAUUUAAUGGUCAAUUAUUAUAAGCGAGAAAUGUAGCCUCUUCCGUUAAUGUAAACUUGCUAGCAUAGCCAUCUGACCAUGAUUUUGCAUUUCCAUAUUCCCUGCAAGAAUCUUCAUUCCCUGAUCAGAAUAUCAUUUUUUUUCAUAAUUUUCACCCAAGAAUCUUCCUCGCUCCAAAAGGCAUAUGAAUUUUCAGAAUACUACCUUUGAAGAUCAAAAUAGCGUUGGGCUUUAGAAUUUUUGAAUGGUAAACAAACAGUG
rnacentral:misc_RNA from 1 species